AAACAUCUGUUGACGAGAAGAGUAAGCUUGGUUUAUCUUUUUAGAGAGUCUCUGGUUGGUGAAAAGAGAUAAGAUAGAAAGGCUGAAGAUGGUCUCUGAGGAAAAGUUGUUGAUAGGUAAGCAACUUCGGGCGGCACCCGUUAUCCAUGCAGCAAGUUAAAACAUGACUUGAGUAGAGAGAAGCAAGUGAUUUGCUUCAAAAAAAGGUGGUACCGCGACUAUUUCGCCCUUUUA
rnacentral:ncRNA from 1 species